UACGUAGGGUGCAAGCGUUGUCCGGAAUUAUUGGGCGUAAAGAGCUCGUAGGCGGUUUGUCGCGUCGGCUGUGAAAACUCGGGGCUCAACCCCGAGCCUGCAGUCGAUACGGGCAGACUAGAGUGCUGUAGGGGAGACUGGAAUUCCUGGUGUAGCGGUGAAAUGCGCAGAUAUCAGGAGGAACACCGGUGGCGAAGGCGG
rnacentral:rRNA from 1 species